GGUGGGGUUCCCGAGCGGCCAAAGGGAGCAGACUGUAAAUCUGCCGUCAACUUCGAAGCGCUGAGUAAUCCUUCCCCCACCACCA
rnacentral:tRNA from 1 species